rnacentral:rRNA from 1 species
AUNGACCGAGUGGCGGACGGGUGAGUAAUGCUUGGGAACUUGCCUUUAGGAGGGGGAUAACAGUUGGAAACGACUGCUAAUACCGCAUAAUGUCUACGGACCAAAGGGGGCUUCGGCUCUCACCUAAAGAGAGGCCCAAGUGAGAUUAGCUAGUUGGUAAGGUAAAAGCUUACCAAGGCGACGAUCUCUAGCUGUUCUGAGAGGAAGAUCAGCCACACUGGGACUGAGACACGGCCCAGACUCCUACGGGAGGCAGCAGUGGGGAAUAUUGCACAAUGGGGGAAACCCUGAUGCAGCCAUGCCGCGUGUGUGAAGAAGGCCUUCGGGUUGUAAAGCACUUUCAGUUGUGAGGAAAGGUUGGUAGUUAAUACCUGCCAGCUGUGACGUUAACAACAGAAGAAGCACCGGCUAACUCCGUGCCAGCAGCCGCGGUAAUACGGAGGGUGCGAGCGUUAAUCGGAAUUACUGGGCGUAAAGCGCACGCAGGCGGUUUGUUAAGCUAGAUGUGAAAGCCCCGGGCUCAACCUGGGAUGGUCAUUUAGAACUGGCAGACUAGAGUCUUGGAGAGGGGAGUGGAAUUCCAGGUGUAGCGGUGAAAUGCGUAGAUAUCUGGAGGAACAUCAGUGGCGAAGGCGGCUCCCUGGCCAAAGACUGACGCUCAUGUGCGAAAGUGUGGGUAGCGAACAGGAUUAGAUACCCUGGUAGUCCACACCGUAAACGCUGUCUACUAGCUGUUUGUGAAUUUAAUUCGUGAGUAGCGAAGCUAACGCGAUAAGUAGACCGCCUGGGGAGUACGGCCGCAAGGUUAAAACUCAAAUGAAUUGACGGGGGCCCGCACAAGCGGUGGAGCAUGUGGUUUAAUUCGAUGCAACGCGAAGAACCUUACCUACACUUGACAUGCAG